CAGUUACCAUGGAGAUGAAAUGUCACAACUACGUGUUCAUGUGAUUACAUGAAAUCAUCUGAUUGUUUCUGUGUCUGGGUCAGUGCUCUAAAAUGAGUCUCUCUGGGGAUAGAAAGGAGGGGGGCCCUGCCUCUAAAAUGAGUCUCUCUGGGGAACAUGACACCAAAGCUAAGAGACCAAUCAAGCAGGAGAGACCAGCCUCCCCUGUACCCAGCUGUGUGUCCAUGAAGAGUGAGAAGUCUAUGAAUCAUCCUAUAGAGUUUAGAGAGGGAGACUUUUCUACUGAACAAAGAAACCAACAGGAGAGAUCAGAGAUUCUCAGUGGUCAGUCUUCCCAGAGUCAUCAAACAGACCUGGA